rnacentral:rRNA from 1 species
CCUACGGGAGGCAGCAGUAGGGAAUCUUCCACAAUGGGCGAAAGCCUGAUGGAGCAACGCCGCGUGGGUGAAGAAGGUCUUCGGAUCGUAAAACCCUGUUGUUAGAGAAGAAAGUGCGUGAGAGUAACAGUUCACGUUUCGACGGUAUCUGACCAGAAAGCGACGGCUAACUACGUGCCAGCAGCCGCGGUAAUACGUAGGUGGCAAGCGUUAUCCGGAUUUAUUGGGCGUAAAGGGAACGCAGGCGGUCUUUUAAGUCUGAUGUGAAAGCCUUCGGCUUAACCGGAGUAGUGCAUUGGAAACUGGGAGACUUGAGUGCAGAAGAGGAGAGUAGAAUUCCAGGUGUAGCGGUGAAAUGCGUAGAGAUAUGGAAGAACACCAGUGGCGAAAGCGGCUCUCUGGACUGUAACUGACGCUGAGGUUCGAAAGCGUGGGUAGCAAACAGGAUUAGAUACCCGAGUAGUC